CCCCGAGACCCGUCACCAGGAUCGCGGGCGCCGUGCCUGGCAGGCUGUUAGGGCCCGGGGCUGCCUCUCGGCUCCCAGCGACAACCAGGGAAAAGCAGGAUGGCGGAAGGAAGGAGGAAAGCCGGCCGCCAUUAGCCAGAGAGCAGUAUUGAAUGGCCCGGCGGCUUCAGCCUUGGCUCCAACCCGACCCAGCCCUCGGCUCGGCUCAAAAACCUGAAAAUAAAACUCGUGUUUGAGAGGGAGGAGCGAGCGCGGCCCGGAGGACAAGCAGCGCCAGGCUGCAGGCGGGAGAGAGAUGCUGCGUCAUGAUGCCAACAUGGACGCCGGCCUUUUGUCCUUUUUCUCUUUGGAAGAGCAGGCGAGCCCCGGAGCCCCGAAAAGCUGGCUUCCGGGGGACAGAAACCCCCACAAUCAAUCAGGAACGAGACUUUAAGAUGGGUGGGAAGGUUUCCUCGCUUUUUUCAGCCCCUCCAUCUCCAAAACACUUCGAUUUCUUCUCUGCCACUAAGGUGCAAACCUGAGGCGAGCCAAAGGGACUAGCGCAGGCGGCUCCAUGGAUGCCCCAGGGUACUGGGGACAGGCUCUCUUCGCCUUUGGGUGCAAAAGAGGCAGAGGGGUCUGGAGAGCCCUAGUCCCCUCACCCACCCACUGCAAUCGGCUGCCAAGCUCAAGCUCAAGAAAUCCCAGCUCCCAAUCAUCUGCAGCCCAUGGCCUGCUCAAUCGAGAGUUCCUCGAAGGGGGAAAAAGACACUUGAAAACAAAUUUUUUUAGUCUAGUUUUUUACUUACCCACUCAGCCCGGCGCCAUGGCGUCUAGAAGAAAAAGCUGGCCGGCGCUUUUGGAGAUAUUAUAAAAAUAACAGGUCUUUUUUUGGGAGGUGGGGGAUGUUUGGUUGUUUAGUUGGGGGGAAACCUGGGGUUCUGGUGUCCCUUUGUUACCUUCUUUGUAAGUUACACUCGUGGUAUUUCUGCUCCUUCCACGACUGCAAACUUUCCAGGGUUGGGCUGGCAAAAAGGCGGCUUCGCUGAGGGCUGUUUAGUGCUCUGGAUUUACCAAUGGUGUGAUCGUCAUUAAGAAACAAAAGGCGAAAACACAAGUCAAAUCAAAACAAAAGGCAAAACCAGCCAUCCCAACCGCCACAGAAAAUACCACCGACUCAACGUAGGUGUUUGGCUUGAACCGGCUAAGGGCUUGUUUUCCAGUUUUAAUCUAGUUUUCAGAGGCGGCUUUCAGUCUUUUUUUAUACAAAAGGUCUUCCUUUCUCUUACCCUCCACCACCCCACACCCAGUUCGAGAAAAACAGCUGUUUUUCUUCAAAUAGAUCGAUUUUCAAAGAGUGUACGAGCUACUGGGAAGAAAUCUGAAUAGCAACUAUGGCUGUAAACAUUUUUUUUUUUCCAAAAAGCUCGAAGCUAAAAAAUCGUAGCUUUAUAGAAGCAAAAACGUCUAAAAGCAUUUUAACUGACUUACAUCAGACAAAGACAAAGACAUACAUGCAGAUGAAGCUUCCGAAAAUUCAGGACAUCUCAGGCGACAGUAACACGAGAACGGCAGUGCAGUUAAGGACAGAAUGGAUUGGGUACUUACAAUGUAAAAGGUUUUUAGAAAAUUUAACAGUAACAACAGCUCACAGUUUUUUUGUUAUUGUUGCCGUUUCGCUACAACUAUACAUUUAAAACAUUACCUUGUUAAAAAAUAGAAUUAAUAAGAUGGUCAGGCUUAAGUGUUUAAUAGAGGAAACUAUAUUUAAAAAUUUAUUGUUCAGUCAAGAGAAUACAGAUUAAGACAGCUCCAAGCUCUCCCACCCACCCACCCGAGAAAAAAAAAAAAGGAAAAAAAUUAAAUAUGUCAUUUACUUAGGUUUUUUUGAAUUCAAAACUGUUAACUGCUGACAUUAAUAGUGUGCUAUGACCUAGUUAUACAAGACAAAGAUGGAUUCCAAGUCAUAAGGAAAAAUCCAGAUCUUUUUAAAAGGUCUUCAUUCUUCCAAGUGUGAGUCCUUUGGCAAAUGUUAAACACAUUCAGGCGUCCUGAACUGGAUGGUGGAGUCAAAGGAAAAGCAUUCCCCAUUUGCAACAAAGGAAAAACCCACUUGGCCAUUUAAUUCCAUUGCAGAAAAAUGGCUCCCUCAUCUGUUGGCCUCUCCUUGGAGUCUGAUGAAGGAUGUUUUGAGAUCAGCGUCUAAUAACUCAAGCCCUAUAGAAGCCGCGCGCUGAUUGGCUGCCGCACCCUGCCGCCCUGCUCCAGCCAAUUACCUACCCACGGCCAAAUUACAAACCCCGAAAAGAGCCCCAAUAUGAAAUACACCACCACGAAGCCCCGGCGAGGCGGCUGCUUCGCCUCGGCAGCCCGAGAAGAGAGACCGAGGGCGUCUGCAACCAGAUCCACGCGAAAAGCCGGGGAAGCCUACGAGUUGAACUCACAAAAUGGAAGCCGAGCGCUGAUUGGCCGCCGCCACUCCCGGACCUUUAAUAAAGAAAGGGGAAGGAAAAUGAUAAAUGCAAAAAAGGGGACUCUCUGUCGCUGGUGGCUGGAGGAAGGAGGGAGGGAGAAGCAUGUGUUCAAGACAAUUACUGGGCGCUCCCCUCCAAAAAUAAAAACAGAAAGGCAAAAAAUAAAAACGAAAAAAUAAAGAGAAA
ensembl:lincRNA 4932422M17Rik RIKEN cDNA 4932422M17 gene